rnacentral:rRNA from 1 species
GACGGAGGAUGCAAGUGUUAUCCGGAAUCACUGGGCGUAAAGCGUCUGUAGGUGGUUUAAUAAGUCAACUGUUAAAUCUUGAGGCUCAACCUCAAAAUCGCAGUCGAAACUAUUAGGCUAGAGUAUAGUAGGGGUAAAGGGAAUUUCCAGUGGAGCGGUGAAAUGCGUAGAGAUUGGAAAGAACACCGAUGGCGAAGGCGGCAUCCUGGACCGGCAUUGACGCUGAGGCGCGAAAGCCAGGGGAGCAAACGGG